AAUGACAUGUGUUCGAGCGGAAGGACGAGCGGUGUAGCAUAACGGGAGAGUAAUGGCGUAGUUGCAGCCCUCACGGGCCGGGCGAAAAGAACCUGGCCCGUGAGGACUGCCUACCCUGUACAGAGAAACCGAGCAAACAUGUCCCUAUGAUCCAGCAACACCGUUUCUGCGCGUUGUAAUUGUAGCGAACCCUGUUGCCUUGUUUUUCACUUCACGGUAAAACUAUUUCAGUCAUCCCACAUUUCAUAAAUAUCAUGACCAACAUUAACAUAUUCAAGAGGCUCAAGUGCAUUCCAAAGCAUUCCAUCUCCAGUCCUCUGCUGCCCUCAGACAGAUGUGUUGCUCUACUUUUGACAAAGGAUGCAUACCCAAGAGGACCAACAGAGAUGCAAGAUCUGGAUGCAUACUCAAGAGGACCAACAGAGAUGCAAGGUCUGCAGUGAACAAGUUGAAAGAUGAAACACCCAAGGUCAAGUGCUGGGCUGCGAAAAAUGGUGGUGAUCACUGCUGGUCACUACAUAUCCAUGAAACCAAAUAUGCCCUUCCAGCUGCCCCACCUUCUCUAAACACAGUGCUGGAGGGACCAACAUGUAGCUUUUAGUCUAUACAAUUAAUUGUAACACCAGUGGGAGUUUUAGUAGCAGAUUGGAAUUAAGAAAUUAGCUUUCUGGUAUCUGUCUUGAAUUAGAUUUAUUUUAAUUUAUUUGUGGAUUGCUCACAAAAUGUGGCAAAGGAAUAAGUAGAUGGUGGACAUAAAACAAGACGUAAAUCACUACCUCACUGACAAUCAUCUGUAAGGCCCCAUCCUUCUUGAAGUUGAGGUUUGCAUUAUAGCAGAGAUGACGUGUGCUUCUUCAAAUGGUGAUGGUGGACAAUCUUAGAAUCAUGGUAUAUAUUUUAAACUUGAUCUUUGAGGGUAUUUUGUAGACACCCCAUUCAUUCAGUUAAAACAUUGUGUCCACCUCAUGCAUGCAUCAGGAAGGUAUUCUGGCCAAGAUGGCGUUUUGUUCAUAGAGGUAUAUGAUCCAUAUCCUGGAUAAAUCCACAUAAUUCAGUUUGAUUAAAAAUGACAUAGGGAACUGAAUCGAACGGUCAAGGAAAAAUAGUGGGUGAUUGAGUUUUUGCACCUGUUAUACUUGUUAACAAUGAUUUUGAGAGAGAACUAGUCUAAAGUCCAAGGUCCAUAUGGUCCACCCUGGAUACGGGAUUUGUGCAAUAUGUUUUCCCUCCCUCUCCCAUUUACCUAUGAUGGUUUUGAUAUAAAUAUGUAUAUUGUAAACAAGUGACAAGUUGUUCAAAUAACAACAAAAUCACCAAUGUCUUCCAUUAAGAAAAUGUAUAGUCCCAUAUGCUUAUGUAGCAAGCUUUUAGUGCCGACAUUAUACAUGGCCAUGCAUGAGAGGUUGUGAUGCUUGCUGAGUAACAUAGUUCUAGUAAUAUACUUAUAUAUUUUAAGGUGUAUACAGUAUAGACAGAACAAACUUUAGUUACCAACUGGGAUGUAGCAUCCUUUUCCAACAUUAGUCUGAGAUUGCUCCAAAAGUGGGGACUCCCUAUGUCUUUGUCUGUCCAUCUCAAAACACAUAGCCAGGCCUCUUGUAAGAGUUAUGUUCGCCCUUUUGGGGUAAGCAGGAGGGAGUAGUGGCUCGACCCCGAAGGCAUAAAGACACUACAAGUUUGACCUUGCCCACAGCUGACUUGCAUGCCCAUUUUCACAUUCCCAGAGAUACACGUUAUAGUGCUGUUGUCAGAUUUAUGUGUUUGGCAUGAUUGUGGUUGGUGCUAGUAUAAUUGCAGUUUGUAGGGUUGUUCAAGUGAUCUAUGCUGUACCAAAAGCCUGCUAUAAGCAUUUCCUCAAAUCUAUGAGACUAGAUCACCAUAGAUGGUUGUGUAGGAAAUUUCCCCACAUGUACAGUAGACCUCCUUCAAUUUAAUUCAAUUUGAGAGUAGCACAUGAAGAGAGUAAUUACUGUAGGCCUGACAGUAUGCUCCAUGGUAGUUUCAAGUAAUGAGUUUACCCUCUGACUUAUCUUUGACCCUUACUGUAUUUUUGCCCCUAAUAUUACUGAAAACAAAUGUCAUUUUAGUAUUGGAAGACUACAAGUCUUUAAAUAUUAUGUCUCCUCAGUUUAAACUAUAUGAGCCGCUUGGUCAGUGAGGGAUUGCUAAUUUAAAUGUUCAAAAUCUGCAUAAUCGAUUGCUGUUUGGUGGCAUGAUUCAAAGCAAUCCAGACCAGUCUUCAUUGCACACUUCCUAACACCUCUCCCAGACUCAGUAGGGGAUGUGUCCUUAGUUGGUAGAUUACUAAAGUAGGUUAGGUGGCCUAGAUUCAGAAUAGCACAGAAUUUAACACUAGGUAAACAGUAGGUUAUUAGAGUAUUAACAAUAUUGAGCUCAAGUAUUUAAAUAUUCUCAUGUAAAUAAAUACCUCAAUGAUUGGAAAGCAGCAAAAGAUUUAAAAUUAGUAAUACAAUUUAAGCCAUAGCAUAUGUAAAGUAGUGUUAGGAGCAAUACAAAUAUUACGCAUGAUUUUAGUGUCAGUUUUGGUUUAAAUGAGGUGUUGUGGAAUGGAAACCCUUAGCAUAAAAUAGCUGUGUUCAGUGUUGAAAAGAAUUGCAUUCUGUUUGAUAACUGAUGUUGAAGGCAUCGAUAGUAAUGGUGGUAUGGAGAGGUUCGGAAAUCUCUUCUAUGGGAUAAUGGAUUUAACAUAAUACAUGUGGCGAAGAAACUGAAACCACAAUGUUUUGGAAGAUUGCCGUGUGAAUCUUCUUUUGUAGUUGAGAACAGAACAAUAUUUUCAAAAGUACCAUUGUUAGAAAAAAGGUCCUGUUGCGUGUGCAAGGGGCAGUCCCUUUUGACAUCCCAGCAUGUGUCGAUAGCAUGUUUACAUCAUGAUGACAUUAAAACAGGAUCAUCAUCAUUAUCAGAUGCACAUGAAUAAUAUGCAUUGUAUCUUAACCAAAAGCAAUAGAACAUGUGUAGUGGUCUUGCUACAAUUACUAGUAUUUUCUGGAUGAACACACUAAACUGUAUGUCCACCGUCACCGUGGCAACGGAGCUUUCUCUGUGACCAUGAUGGCCAAAGGGAGUUCGCCUUGUGACAGCAUGAUCUCCCUGAAAUGCUGCUUCAAGAUAGAAGGCGACAAGGAUAUGACUCAUAAAGCACUUUCCCUCAUCUGUACUGUACAGUGAGAAACACUUCACAUAAAUUGUAAUCUCAUGACAUCGCAAAGUCAACCCCUCUACGAUUAAUUAUGGACAUGAUGUUGUAAAACUAUCUAUGAAUUAAUAUAGUCUCAGUCUAUAGGAAUGCAGUGGAAAUAGUGUUUGCAUGAUGGAGCAACUUAUGAAAUGUGUAGUACUGCAUGCAAUAAUGACAUUUUUGUAUGACUAUUUGAAUAUGACUUAAAAAUAAUCAUUGCUUGGAAAAUCGAUUGGUAACUACAGCAUUGUUGUAAAAAAUGUUUGUGUCAAAACGAAAAUCUCCCAUAAUUCUUCUGGUACCUUGUUAUUUGCUAAUUUGUAUUAAUUUGUGGAGGAUGCAAAGCCUCUUAGGAAAUAUUUAUGAAAUUACAGAAAAGUCAAUGCAACUGAUUAACUGCAAGUUUGUUAGUAUCACAGUAAGAUCAAGAUUGCCUCAAACAGAACAUAAAUCAGUUGUUCUUGCUUAAAAAUGGAAAAACACAAACCUGUACUUGUUUAUAUUAUGUACUGACACAUCAUUUGGUGUAGUGACCCAAACAUUUGGAUAAUAAUCUGUUGUAGCGGUAAUGUCUUUUUGCAAAGCUAAUUAACAGAUGAAAGGCACAAUUGGAACAGUUGGAAAUUGGUGAAAUUGUGUUGUGAAACUCUAAAUGAAAAGACUGUAGGUUUUGUCUAAACUAUGCACUUAAGAGAGGCACCAAGCAUGCUAAGAUGAGCCUCUUAACCAUUUUGUUAAAAGUGAAGAAAAUGCAUCACAUAUGUAGCAAUAAAAAGCAGCAUGGUGCCAAUCAUA